rnacentral:rRNA from 1 species
GAUGAGCGCUGGCGGCGUGCCUAAUACAUGCAAGUCGAGCGAACAGACGAGGAGCUUGCUCCUCUGACGUUAGCGGCGGACGGGUGAGUAACACGUGGAUAACCUACCUAUAAGACUGGGAUAACUUCGGGAAACCGGAGCUAAUACCGGAUAAUAUAUUGAACCGCAUGGUUCAAUAGUGAAAGACGGUUUUGCUGUCACUUAUAGAUGGAUCCGCGCCGCAUUAGCUAGUUGGUAAGGUAACGGCUUACCAAGGCGACGAUGCGUAGCCGACCUGAGAGGGUGAUCGGCCACACUGGAACUGAGACACGGUCCAGACUCCUACGGGAGGCAGCAGUAGGGAAUCUUCCGCAAAGGGCGAAAGCCUGACGGAGCAACGCCGCGUGAGUGAUGAAGGUCUUCGGAUCGUAAAACUCUGUUAUUAGGGAAGAACAAAUGUGUAAGUAACUAUGCACGUCUUGACGGUACCUAAUCAGAAAGCCACGGCUAACUACGUG